rnacentral:lncRNA from 1 species
UGGUGUGGGCGAGUGAGAGUUUUCCCCACCAAUGUGCCUUUAGGGGAACAGCUCCUUCCUGGGCGACUCCCAGCCCAACUUCACAGAACUCUUCUCCAUCCAGUCGGGCCCAGUGAAGACGGUGGAGGAGACGGUGGCCCGGAAGGGACAGGAAGUGCAGAGGAACAGUGAGCAUAAGAUCAUCACCACCACGGCCGACCUGUCGUUACCCACCUUCCCCCCACUCCCUCCCCCCAUGCCCACCCGCCUCUCCCCCCCUCCCCCUCCACAACUCCCCUCCCACUUCACCGAGUACUUCAGCAUGCAGGGGGGAGGGGGCAUGGGCACCAAGGCAUGAGACAGACAGAGAGAAAGAAAGAGGGACACAGAGAGAAAGAUCGAGAGGGAGGUGAAAAUCAGGUAGCAUAGAAAACAGGUCAAGCUAUGUAUAGCCACGAGGGAAGGAGGGAGGGAUAUGAGGAGGAAGAGAAGGGGAAGUCAUUAUAAGCAGACAUGUGGAAUGGAAAUCCUAAAUGGCCCAUUUUCACCUCUGAAUGGGAAAAAAGCUGAAUAAAGAAGAGGAUAUGGCUGUGAGUUAAAGUGCUGAGCUUGUAAAAGAAAAAAGAAGCAAUAAAUAUUUGAACAUGAGCAGGGAGAGAGGCACCGGGAGGGAGAGAUGACAGAGUGGAUGUAGCCUGACCAAUAGAAUGAUAUAGGAGCGCACAGUGGAGACUGAACAAAACUCCUAUGAACACUUUUAUUCAAGAAUUUAUAAGGCAUCAAUGGAGAAGCUGAGGGAAACAUGUAAAUAGCGGAAGAGAAUGAGUUACCAUUACUCUAAAAUAGUUAGAGUUUAUAUUACAAAAGGGAUGUUUUUCUCCACAUUGUCGAAUUCCAAGUGAUGCUGUGACCAUUGCAAUUCUCAUGCCAUUACAUUGUACAAGAGUAAAAUAUUCACUCACAUCCUGAAACAUACAUUUUUUUUUCAUGUUUGACAGAUGUUAACACAAAAUAUAGAAUUUCUCCAUAUAGAAUAUGUUGG